CUGCCAGGUCUGUCUGUGUGGUUGACCUGUCUCUCUACCUGACUGCCAGGUCUGUCUGUGUGGUUGACCUGUCUCUCUACACCUGACUGCCAGGUCUGUCUGUGUGGUUGACCUGUCUCUCUACACCUGACUGCCAGGUCUGUCUGUGUGGUUGACCUGUCUCUCUACCUGACUGCCAGGUCUGUCUGUGUGGUUGACCUGUCUCUCUACCUGACUGCCAGGUCUGUCUGUGUGGUUGACCUGUCUCUCUACCUGACUGCCAGGUCUGUCUGUGUGGUUGACCUGUCUCUCUACACCUGACUGCCAGGUCUGUCUGUGUGGUUGACCUGUCUCUCUACACCUGACUGCCAGGUCUGUCUGUGUGGUUGACCUGUCUCUCUACACCUGACUGC